GGCCUGAUGGUGUAGUGGUUACAUGUGCUCUUCAUUUGGACCUCCCUUGUGUCCGUGGUAAUAUUUGGAGGAAGUCCCCGGUUCGAAUCCGGGUCAGGCCC